GACGUAGGGUGCGAGCGUUGUCCGGAUUUAUUGGGCGUAAAGAGCUCGUAGGCGGCUCGUCGCGUCGACCGUGAAAACCCGCGGCUUAACUGCGGGCUUGCGGUUGAUACGGGCGGGCUAGAGUUCGGUAGGGGAGACUGGAAUUCCUGGUGUAGCGGUGAAAUGCGUAGAUAUCCGGAGGAACACCGGUGGCGAAGGCAGCUGGCUACACAUAUAUUGACACUGAUGCACGAAAGCGUGGGAAUCAAACAGG
rnacentral:rRNA from 1 species